GUCGAGCCCAGUAAUGUGGGCUUGUAACCCAAAUGGGGACAUUAAUGUGGUGGAAUGUUGGGCUGUACCAGAUGGUUGGGCUUGAUAGACGAGUUUCUGGCCUGCCCUCUCCAAGCACAGAGUUGGAUCACGGGGCCUAUUUGAAAGAAUGGACUUCUUGAUCCCUAAAGUGGGGUGGACUGCGUGAGGCUGGUUUCACAGAGCAACGAACAGCUCCCGCUCUGUGCAGUGGAAGGACAACAGGCUGGUGUCUUUCAAGUCUAAAAAUGCCUAAUGGGCAUCUUCAAUUAAACCACUACUUUU
rnacentral:SRP_RNA from 1 species